rnacentral:lncRNA from 1 species
UACGACCAGGUCCAAGAAAUACAAGAAUAGAUCAAAGUAAACUGGCCAGAAAACUCGGAUUAUCUAUUUCGUUGCAAUUAGUCUGAUGACGACAAGAAGCAUAACAUUGCAAACACGUAUAUUAGUAGUGUAUACUAUCAAGGUGGCAUUGGGUUUGCAAAGGUGAGGGAGCCUGCUGCAACUUGGUGCACAUUUAUAUCAUUUUUUCAUGGUUAGUAUAUUAUUUCAUUAUCCGGUGAGGGAGCCUGUGAAACUUCCUUUUAUUUCCUCAUUAUGAAACUGAGACAGCUCACCAUUGUAUAUCAGCAAACCUUGAAACCGAUUAUGUUCCGUAUCAUAAACAAAGCAGAAUUAUUGUGGAUGCAAGUUGGACUCAGCAAGUUGUGCCAAACCAUGGGAAGGCAUGGGCAAGGUGGUUGAGCUUGAUGCCGAUGAUACAGAGGUUAUUGCUUCAGCGAUGCUGGAGGCCCUUCAAGGUAAGAUUAGAUGCGCCUCGGUGACUCAGAGUCUCAGGUCAUCAGUGAGUUUUGCUUCAUACCAGUUGAGCAGUGUAUAUUGUUGGCUAUAAAUAUUUGAAUUAUCUCCAAUCUUGUGUUUCGGGUUCUACUAACUCCCGUAUUUUACCAUGUUUUGUCACUUCAACAAACUUUUACUUAACUAUUUAGUUAAUGUAUGCAAAGUUCUGGUUUAGAAACUUAAUGCUGAAUUCUGAACCAAAAUGAUUACAUGUAUUACCUUGUUGUACUAAUAUCAUUUUGUUCAGAGAUUUCAUUACUGAUUAUUUAGUUCUGUGACAAGGAAAUGGCAAACAUAUAGGCAUUUUAAUCUGAAAACUCAAAUGCCAUGUUUAGAGAAGAUGGUAAGCCUCUCAUUAGUGGUAAUUUUAUUACGUUGAAACACGAUAUGGAGCUAUGAUAAUGAGUGUUUGGGGUUUGGACGGCAUGACAUAAAAUGAUAUAUUUUGAAAUAGAUAGUCUAUUUUCUUCAAAAACUUUCUUGCACUAAGCUUAUAAUCUUCGCUUGACUUCGUAUGUACGUAUUAGCUCUGUUUAAUUCCACUCAUAGUCAUGUUGUCGCACUGCCACAUACUGGCUUAUAUAAUUCAUUUUACUUCCACAUUGUUCUUUUGAGCAUGGGGUUGCAGGUUUUAUUGAACUAACUUGGGUGCUUGUCCUACAUGUGAAAGAUGCACACACUGACGAACUUACCUACAUGGCUACAUCUAAGAGGAAUGAUUAUUACAAUUCCCUUGCUGAGUACUGGAUGAACUUCAGUAACUACACUAUUUCUAAUUGCUAACUGUACAUCACGAUGAUGCUAUGUCUCACAAGAGACCGACGAGGUGAUACUAAUUGCAGAGGAGGAGGAUAUGUAUACCCCAGCACCAUUACCCUGGAUACUUCAUGAUGGUAAUGAUUUUGAUUAAUUCAGUUAAGUGAUUAAUUAUUUUGAUUUGGAUGCCAUGCGCUGUUCUGAUACUGGUGGCAGCUUUGACACCUGGUUCAUUCCUUGUGUUGGGAACAUUACCAAAUUUGUUUUCACACAUAAAUAUGUAGUAGAUGAAUAUGCUAUGUAUUUUCUUCUGCUAUACAAUUAUUAGUAAUCAACCUUGCUUCUGUACAAAGGUGAAAUUUAGUGCUUUUGGUAUAUUUCAGUUAGCAUGGGAAAGCAAAACCUAUGCUUGAGCCUCAGCAUUCAGCCGUACAUAAACCUAUCCUAUUUAUUUAUUUAUUUAUUUUUGCUAAUGAACAGUUGUGGUUAUUAUAUCUAUAUCAGGAGGAUAGUAAAGAUAUUUCUAAAGUACAGAAUAUAAUUUUUAUAUUGACUGCAAAAGAAAAUCUAACCACAUUUGAUCUUCUGGACCUUGAAUUACUUAACUCUAUGGCCGCCUAUGAUAUUGUAACUACCUUUCCUACUCAGUUUGACAUUUGGUUUCUCGUACAGGGAGUGGUUAAUAAGUUGCAUUAACCGGCGAGAUGGAAUGAGCUUAUUGGUUUAGUACUUGAUGCAAUUAUUCUUGGUUGGAAGUAAAAGACUUACGUGUCAUAUAGAUGUAUUUCUGCUAACUUUUCAGUAAUAUGUGCGUAUAAUACAAAAUAACAUGUCACUGAUGCAUGAAAAUUCAAGAAAAG